rnacentral:rRNA from 1 species
CUACGGGUUGCUCCAGUAGGGAAUAUUGCGCAAUGGACGCAAGUCUGACGCAGCAACGCCGCGUGGGUGAUGAAGCUCUUCGGAGUGUAAAACCCUGUCAGUGGGGAAGAAACGUGCGGGCAGUAACUGUCCCGCACCUGACGGUACCCGCAGAGGAAGUCCCGGCUAACUCCGUGCCAGCAGCCGCGGUAAUACGGGGGGGACGAGCGUUGUUCGGAUUUACUGGGCGUAAAGGGCGUGUAGGCGGACCUGCAAGUCGGUUGUGAAAACUGGUGGCUCAACUGCCAGCCUGCAUCCGAUACUGCCGGUCUUGAGUACGGGAGAGGAGAGCGGAAUUCCAGGUGUAGCGGUGAAAUGCGUAGAUAUCUGGAAGAACAUCGGUAGCGAAGGCGGCUCUCUGGACCGAUACUGACGCUAAAGCGCGAAGGCUUGGGUAGCAAACAGGAUUAGAUACCCUGGUAGUC